rnacentral:rRNA from 1 species
UGAGGAAUAUUGGUCAAUGGACGAGAGUCUGAACCAGCCAAGUAGCGUGAAGGAAGACUGCCCUAUGGGUUGUAAACUUCUUUUAUAAGGGAAUAAAGUGCACCACGUGUGGUGUUUUGUAUGUACCUUAUGAAUAAGGAUCGGCUAACUCCGUGCCAGCAGCCGCGGUAAUACGGAGGAUCCGAGCGUUAUCCGGAUUUAUUGGGUUUAAAGGGAGCGUAGGCGGCAGGUUAAGUCAGUUGUGAAAGUUUGCGGCUCAACCGUAAAAUUGCAGUUGAUACUGGCCUGCUUGAGUGCGGCAGAGGCAGGCGGAAUUUGUGGUGUAGCGGUGAAAUGCUUAGAUAUCACGAAGAACUCCGAUUGCGAAGGCAGCUUGCUGGAGCGUAACUGACGCUGAUGCUCGAAAGUGCGGGUAUCAAACAGG